GACGAACGCUGGCGGCGUGCUUAACACAUGCAAGUCGAACGGAAAGGCCCUGCUUUUGUGGGGUGCUCGAGUGGCGAACGGGUGAGUAACACGUGAGUAACCUGCCCUUGACUUUGGGAUAACUUCAGGAAACUGGGGCUAAUACCGGAUAGGAGCUCCUGCUGCAUGGUGGGGGUUGGAAAGUUUCGGCGGUUGGGGAUGGACUCGCGGCUUAUCAGCUUGUUGGUGGGGUAGUGGCUUACCAAGGCUUUGACGGGUAGCCGGCCUGAGAGGGUGACCGGCCACAUUGGGACUGAGAUACGGCCCAGAUUCCUACGGGAGGCAGCAGUGGGGAAUAUUGCACAAUGGGCGGAAGCCUGAUGCAGCAACGCCGCGUGCGGGAUGACGGCCUUCGUGUUGUAAACCGCUUUCGCCUGUGACGAAGCGUGAGUGACGGUAAUGGGUAAAGAAGCACCGGCUAACUACGUG
rnacentral:rRNA from 1 species